rnacentral:rRNA from 1 species
UGAUGCAGCCAUGCCGCGUCGUGUGAAGAAGGACCUUCGGGUUGUAAAGCACUUUCAGUAGGGAGGAAGGUAGUCGUAGUUAACACCUGCAUUAUUUGACGUUACCUACAGAAGAAGCACCGGCUAACUCCGUGCCAGCAGCCGCGGUAAUACGGAGGGUGCGAGCGUUAAUCGGAAUUACUGGGCGUAAAGCGCAUGCAGGCGGCCUGUUAAGUCAGAUGUGAAAGCCCGGGGCUUAACCUCGGAAUUGCAUUUGAAACUGGCAGGCUAGAGUCUUGUAGAGGGGGGUAGGAAUUUCAGGUGUAGCGGUGAAAUGCGUAGAGAUCUGAAGGAAUACCAGUGGCGAAGGCGGCCCCCUCGGACAAAGACUGACGCUCAGAUGCGAAAGCGUGGGGAGCAAACAGGAUUAGAUACCCUGGUAG